CCAGCCAGCCGGGUGCGGCCAAGGGCGAGCGGGGCUUUCCCGCACCCCCGGCCGGCCCCCUUCCCCACGGUUCCGACCCAGCUCGGAUCCGACCCGGCGCCCCCAGCCCAGCCGGGGAGCGCUCCACACCGAGACACACCCCCUGCCUGGCCUCCCGGGCCCAGCCAACCCACGUUCCCCUUGGCGAGAUCCACAUAAAACAGACUCAACGCAACGCAACGCAACCCCCCCAAUAUUCAUCCCCAGGCAGGCACUCGGCGUGGGAAACUGCAGCCCAGAUUGUUUGGUAAAUGAGCAGCUGACAACAGGCCCUUCUUGGAAGUGCCGUAACAUCAGUACAGCUCUGCUUAUGUCACACAGAUGGUGCCUGAGAAAUGCCUAGGGUGAGAUCCUCUGAUCGGUCCAAGUGUUCUACAAUCCUCAACCCUAACAGCUGCUCACUCCUCCUCCCAUGUGAGCUUGGAAUGGAUUAUCCCCAUUUUGCUGUUGUUCUGUUGAAUUUGUGCUAAUUGCAAGACGUGACCAGAAUGUUCCACCAGAAAACAUGGAGAGUUUCCUCAAAAAGCCUGGAAACUGGGGCACGGAGCUGAAAUGAGUUGCCAAAGGUCACCCAGCAGGCCAGUGGCAGAACCAGGAAUAAAACCGAGGUCUCCUGAAUCCCAGUCCAGUGCUUUACCCAGUAGACAACACUGCCUGAAACCUGUUUUUAUGCCGAUUUCCCUGCAGACCCCGGGCAGUGGGGGCAUUUGCUCCGCUACACUCAGCUUCUUUGAAAAUCUGGCCCCAUGUCUGAAAUGGGGCAUCCCAGAAUCAGUGCUCACCUCUGGACGUGGGGUUGUAAGCAAAUGUGAUCCCUUCCUCCCAACAAACCCGCAACCUGGCUGGAUCCAGAGCCACAUCCCCUGCUUGCAGUGACUAUGGGUACCAGCCAGUGGUGAGUCUCCCUCACAAGUCUGCCAGUUCUAGUGAACUGGGCAACAGUUGACACCAGUGGCCUGGGUUGUCUGGGGGCCUGUGUGAGCCUGAAGCCUUCUGCUUUCACCUGCCCUGUGCCUCUAGCUCCUACUGUUCAUCCGCAAGGCAGCCUGCUUCACAACUGAGUUGAAAUACAAUCUUAACCUUGUCAGCCCUCGAUUUCUUUUUGAGUCCUUGAGCUGCUCUUCCCGGAUACCACUAAAAACCAUGAGGAUUAGGGCUGUCCCUGCCCGGGCCACCCCUUGGACCCUGUGUUCUCGGAGCUUCCAGGAGGAACCACGCUGCAUCCUGGGAGUACACCGUCUGCAGUACAUUGGGGUUCGUUUGUGGGCAGCUCAGCUUGCACGGGGAGUGGGAACUCCACGGCUCUGCCACUGAAUGGUUCCUGGGCACCGCGUUGACAGUGGGCGUGGUCACAGCCGGCUUCCAUUUUGGAGCACAGACAGGACCUACCCGCAUUGAAAGGUGUUUUCAAUGGGGCCAAAGCCUUGGUUGUAGCCCAGGUCUCGCUCUCAGCACAGUUCAGGGAGCAUGGUUAAAGCAUGUGCUGUAGCUGGUGUGGACUGUUGCAAAGAGUGGGGCGACUGAUUCACAACCACCAACUUCUCCAUGAAGUUUAAACCUUCAGUCUGCUGCUUCCAGAUUGUCCCGUCCAUACUCAGACCGUGAUUCUCAUCAACUCACUUGUUGGCUGUGGUGGAGCACAGUUCAGACUAUGGACGACUUGCGGGCUGGUGGGUGUGGGGGUGUCUGUUCCUUGGAGGAGUCGAUCCUCCCUAUUUGCCUGUGUCUCCAUCCUCUCGAUUGGCUGAUGUAACCUUUUGAAACAGAAGGAAGAUCUGCUGAGGAAAACCUGCUUUUAUUCUCUCAGGGAGAGGGUAGAGGAGCAAUGGAGGGUGGUGGUAUGAGACUCUGGUGAUGGGGGCAGGAUAGGUAGCUAGAUAUCAAGUAAUUAAAUGUGCACAGGAGAUUUUUCUUUUCUAAAGAAAUUAUGUACCUCUGGAUUUAAAACCCCUUGGGAUCUUCCCUGAGAGAGAGACACACACACACACAUCCACACACCCACUAAAAGGUUUAUUUGUUAGACUUCACCCCCCCCACCCUUUGUUGCUUUCACACAAAAUAACUGCAUGUAUCUUUACAUGCCUGGCCCUAUGCAUGAAGGAUACUCAGUGGUCUCAGGGCUGUAUCUCUUCUUUGAAUAAUUAUCUGGGUGCUGGCGGUCUGGCGGGGUGUGUGUGUGUGUGUAGGGGGGUGUUGAAGAACUGCUGUUCAGGAUCUCAUCCUAUUUGCUAAGGGAUCUCUUGAAUUGUUGGUCUCUAUCAGUCACCUACCAUCAUUACUGCAGAUGCUUCGGUAGCCUGUUCGCCUAGGAAUUUAUAUUACACCCAUCAGUGAGGAAUCCGAGUGCCGUCCAAAGGCAUGAUAAUAAUUAGCACACAGGGGCACUGUCCCUGUUGCAAAGGGGGUAGUCACAUCUCUUUGGCUCUGUGCUUUUGGCCUGGGAGAGCAGGGAAAUGGCUGGGUGUGAAGCGACCCAUCCCGUGCACAGCAAUUGCUCUUACCUGCCGUGUGCACAGUUUGAAUUCACUUCUCUCCCUUUUCUGUUCCAUCAGCUCCGCUGGCAGGGUGUCCGUGAAUCGCCCAUAGUUGCAUCACUGUUUGCUUUCACUCCGUACAGAUCAGCUUGGGCUCCAUGCUCUGCGCAGCUGGCUGUUCAGAAAGCAGGCGUGGAAGGGAUUGUGAAUAACAUCUCCUGGAUAAUGCGGGGGGGGGGGGGGUUUGAUUCAAAAGCAUAUUUGAAAAUACCGGGGGCAGCAUUCACCCACCUGUUAAGUAUAGUGUGGAUGGGCCCUUGACCUCACUGUGCCUCAGUUUACCCAUCUGUGAAGACAGCCAAUGAUUCACUAAAUAGAUCUUGAGAUGAUUCUCCCUGCCUUGGAAGGCUGGGUUUGAGCUGCUGCCAUCCCCAGGGCUUUUGUCAGUCUGCUGAGAAGCCCUUAAGUUAUCGCCUAGACACACAACUAUUUUAGUGUUCUUCUGAGGCAGCACAUAGUAAAUAAAUCUCUCCUCCCCCGGCCUUUGCUCUCCUCAGGGGUGAACUGCCAGUUGGAUUUUACAGGCCUUGAAAGUGAUGGGGUUGUAAACUGACUCCCAGCUGGUGAGAAGGAAGAGGUUUCCUUGAUUAUGCUGUACACAAUUGGGUGCAUUAGAGCGGAGCUUGUCCUUUCCAUUUUAACGGGCACCGUCAAAUUAAAAAUGACACUUCUGAUUGAGUAUUUAACUCCUGUUGU